UUUCUGGUGGUCCAGUGGUUAGGACUCAGCAUUGUCACUGCCGAGGGUCAGGGUUCCUCCCUGGUCAGGAAA
rnacentral:tRNA from 1 species